ACUAAUAAUAACUGAUGAUACAGCAAAACGAAAAGAUUAUGCAUUGGGUUUUGUGGGUCUUAAUAGGUGUCGUUCCAAAUACCACCUGGCAUUUAAAACAAAAGCCAAAUAUCUUUUUGAAAAUAGCCACGGAUGAUAUCCGAUUCCCUUUUCUACAAAAUCCACCUUCUUUCUCAAAGAUCUCAUUCUUUUGAACAGCAACCAAAAUUCAACAAACAUAACACAACAAGAACAUGCAAGGAACCAUGAAGCUACAUCAAAGAAAAGAUGGAUCGAAAAUGGAACUAACCGAUUGCAGCUGGAUCGACCAACGAACGCGUAAGUAAGGGUUUCGUGGUGGUCCGAUCCCUCUCUCUGAAUCGCUCUCUUCUAUUUAUGCCAGGCUGAUUAGGGUUUCGGUUGGUGUAUAAAGGUUCAAAGGAGAAAGCUUUCAGAAGUGCUUUUUCAUGCUCAGAAGUGCUUUUAUCUUGUUUGAUGCUAUCUUCCGGAAAGUGAAAUUUGGUGAAAACUUGAGGAGCUCUUAAUUCUUUCAAUGGCGAUUUCGGCCUCAACGUUAAGAAAGCCUGCUCAACAUUGAUAGAGUCUUUAGCAUUUGUCUCAAAGAAAGGGACCGUCAUCGGCGAAUUGGGUGUUUCCACAGAUAAGUAAUCUUUUCCAUUAACCUAACCCCAAUUCCAUUAUGCAGACACUAAUCUCUUCUUAGUGUUUUGUUCGAUUGUGUAGUAGUCGAAUUCAAUUGCAAAACGGAUCUAUCUGUUGUUUUUUUCAUCCGGUAGAUCAGUUUCAUUAUUAAUCCCAUUGAUGUUUGGUGUACAAAGCUUGUCUGCAAUGCCAUCACACUUACCAUGAUACUUCAUCAUGUCCUGUAUCUUUAACAUAACUGGCACUUUGUAAUCACUUGGUUUUGCGCCUUAAUUGGUUUGCGUUAUGUUGAACUAGUGCAGGAUGUGGGUUAGCUCGAUUGCAUGGACCUGCUGCGCGAAGCUCGUGUUGGUUUGAUGGUUCAAGAUGCAGCAACCAAAGACAGAAGUGCUACUUCAAUUCUUUGAGGUCUUGAUAUCAGCUUAAAUAAUACACAUGGUUUGAGGUCUACCGUAAGGCUUGCCAACAAAUUGAUCUAAGGACAUCCAAGGCAUAGAACAAUGCAUGGAGACCAAAGCACCUCUGGUUUGCUUCAAUGACAAUCAUGUCAGCAAAAUCAACACUUGUUUUUCGCCACUGCAUGCACGAUGUUACCAGCAAUGCCUUUAGCUUCAAACAGACUGUGUAGAGGUAUGCCAAAUGGAGUGGCCCAUAUGUUUGCAAGUUGUAAUUUUGCAAAUUUGUCGGCGGUGUUGGGAGGACAGCCAGGCCAAGAGCCUAAACUCUACCAAGCGGCACUUUGUAUCGAACUCGGUUUAGUUUAAGAGAAUUUUUGUUGCCAUGCCUUACUUUCUUCCAUUAUUGGCUGUAUGAAGUAUUUGUAGGAUAAAGCUUUCAAGCUAUUAAGAUUUGUACUGUUCUGAAUUAUUCCUCUAUGAUGAAUGUAUCCUAAAGUUCCUUGCUCUUGCAGAACUGUUGUUAAUGAAUUUAAACCAGCAUAGAUAAAAAUCAGUUUGAGGGUGAGUCCUG